UUCGCACUAUCCAAACCAAUCAAUGUGAACUUCCCUUGUGAGCGACUGGGUGGAGAUGGCUGUGCCUCUUCGGGGGCGCACUUCCUCCAUGCAGAAGCUCGCGGGUGGCAGGGCAGCCUGGCAACACGCGUCAUGUCCCUCUGGGGGUAUGGUGCGGCGGCCCAGGUUGUUCCUGCUGCCAUUGUGUCUGCUCUGACUCAACUGUGCUCUUAACGAGUUUAAGCAUCUCUGUUCUGAUACAUAUCUUGUGUCACAACUUUCAGCGACGGAUAUCUCGGCUCAAGCACCGAUGAAGGGCGCAGCGAAGUGUGAUAAUCAUUGUGAAUUGCAGAAUUCCGUGAACCAAUGGAUUCUUGAACGUGCAUUGCACUCUCGGGAUAUCCCUGGGAGUAUGCCUGCUUCAGUGCUUGUGGAACCCUCAUGCAGGUAUGGUCCUCGUGUCCAUUCCAGCGUCUUUGUGUGCCAUGGCUGCGCCUUCGGGUGGAGCGAGUGGCACAUGCAGGAGUGUUCGAAGAGAGCUGCAGCUUCUGCAACUUGUGAGCUUGCAUCACACCUCUGUUACAGAUUCUUGCGGCGCUCCAAUCAACAACUCUUUUUGUCCCAUGCACAGCAUGAAGUCAGGUCAGCAAACCCGCUGAA
rnacentral:rRNA from 1 species